CCCUAGUAACGGCGAGUGAAGCGGCAACAGCUCAAAUUUGAAAUCUGGCCCCGUGGCCCGAGUUGUAAUUUGCAGAGGAUGCUUUUGGCGCGGUGCCCUCCGAGUCCCCUGGAAUGGGGCGCCACAGAGGGUGAGAGCCCCGUAUGGUCGGACGCCAAACCUUUAUAAAGCUCCCUCGACGAGUCGAGUAGUUUGGGAAUGCUGCUCAAAAUGGGAGGUAAAUUUCUUCUAAAGCUAAAUACUGGCCAGAGACCGAUAGCGCACAAGUAGAGUGAUCGAAAGAUGAAAAGCACUUUGAAAAGAGGGUUAAACAGCACGUGAAAUUGUUGAAAGGGAAGCGCUUGUGACCAGACUUGCGUCGGGCGGAUCAUCCAGCGUUCUCGCUGGUGCACUCCGUCCGGCUCAGGCCAGCAUCGGUUUCCGCCAGGGGACAAAAGCUCCAGGAACGUAGCUCCCUCCGGGGAGUGUUAUAGCCUGCUGUAGAAUACCCCGGCGGGGACCGAGGACCGCGCCUCCGUGCAAGGAUGCUGGCGUAAUGGUCAUCAGCGACCCGUCUUGAAACACGGACCAAGGAGUCAAGCAUUAGGGCGAGUGUUUGGGUGUAAAACCCGCACGCGUAAUGAAAGUGAACGUAGGUGAGAGCCCUCGCGGCGCAUCAUCGACCGAUCCUGAUGUCUUCGGAUGGAUUUGAGUAGGAGCCUUAACGCUUGGACCCGAAAGAUGGUGAACUAUGCCUGGAUAGGGUGAAGCCAGAGGAAACUCUGGUGGAGGCUCGCAGCGGUUCUGACGUGCAAAUCGAUCGUCAAAUUUGGGCAUAGGGGCGAAAGACUAAUCGAA
rnacentral:rRNA from 1 species